rnacentral:rRNA from 1 species
GAGGAGCCUGCGGCAGAUUAGCUAGUUGGUGAGGUAAUGGCUCACCAAGGCUACGAUCUGUAGCUGGUCUGAGAGGACGGCCAGCCACACUGGCACUGACACACGGGCCAGACUCCUACGGGAGGCAGCAGUGGGGAAUUGUUCGCAAUGGGCGCAAGCCUGACGACGCAACGCCGCGUGGAGGAUGAAGAUCUUCGGGUCGUAAACUCCUUUCGAUCGAGACGAAUGGCCUCCGGGUGAAUAAUCCGGGGGAAUGACGGUACCGAGAGAAGAAGCCCCGGCUAACUCCGUGCCAGCAGCCGCGGUAAUACGGGGGGGGCAAGCGUUGUUCGGAAUUACUGGGCGUAAAGGGCUCGUAGGUGGCCAACUAAGUCAUACGUGAAAUCCCUCGGCUUAACCGGGGAACUGCGUCUGAUACUGGAUGGCUUGAGUUUGGGAGAGGGAUGCGGAAUUCCAGGUGUAGCGGUGAAAUGCGUAGAUAUCUGGAGGAACACCGGUGGCGAAGGCGGCAUCCUGGACCAACACUGACGCUGAGGAGCGAAAGCCAGGGGAGCAAACGGGAUUAGAUACCCCGGUAGUCCUGGCCCUAAACGAUGAAUGCUUGGUGU